GCACUAGUGGCUGUGUGGUAGAGUUUCUGCUUGUCAUGUAGAAAGUCUGAGUUCAAGUCCCAGUUUAGGUG
rnacentral:tRNA from 1 species